rnacentral:misc_RNA from 1 species
UGACAGUAGUCGAAACGAAACGUAACCACCCACCACCAUAUUGAAAAAUAAAUUAGUUUAUCGAUGAUGAAUUGAUGAUGAGCAAGUGUUAUUAGUGUUCUAUAGGUGAUAAAACUUUAAUGCAUUUUAUCAAAAAUGGCUGGAAAUUUCGGAAUGCAGCAGUUGAUCCCAAUUGUAAACAAAUUACAAGAUGCAUUCGUGCAAAUGGGCGUGCACAUGUCUUUGGAUCUUCCACAAAUCGCUGUUGUGGGUGGUCAGUCCGCAGGAAAGAGUUCGGUGUUAGAAAAUUUUGUCGGCAGGGACUUCUUGCCACGAGGUUCAGGAAUAGUUACGCGCCGACCAUUGAUUCUACAGCUUAUAAAUGGAAACGCAGAAUGUGCGGAGUUUCUUCAUCUCAAAGGCAAAAAGUUCACUGACUUCAAUGAAGUGCGAAGCGAGAUUGAAGCGGAGACCGACCGUGUCACCGGAUCCAAUAAGGGCAUAUCACCGGUGCCUAUCAAUCUGCGCGUGUAUUCGCCAAACGUUCUUAACCUGACCCUGAUCGAUCUGCCGGGCCUGACAAAGGUUCCAAUCGGCGACCAGCCAAUAGACAUCGAGCAGCAAAUCAAAGCCAUGAUCUUCCAGUUCAUAAGGCGCGAGUCGUGCCUCAUACUCGCGGUCACGCCGGCCAACACCGAUCUGGCGAACAGCGAUGCUCUUAAGCUUGCCAAAGAAGUUGACCCUCAAGGUCUCCGUACUAUCGGCGUGAUAACCAAACUGGACCUUAUGGACGAGGGCACGGACGCGCGCGACGUGCUCGAGAACAAGCUGCUGCCGCUGCGGCGCGGCUACAUCGGCGUCGUCAACCGCUCGCAGAAGGACAUCGACGGACGCAAGGACAUCUCCGCCGCCCUCGCCGCUGAACGGAAGUUCUUCCUUAGCCACCCAUCAUACCGUCACAUGGCGGACCGCCUCGGCACGCCGUACCUGCAGCGGGUACUGAACCAGCAGCUGACGAACCACAUCCGCGACACGCUGCCGGGCCUGCGCGACAAGCUGCAGAAGCAACUGCUCGCGCUCGAGAAGGACGUCGAACAGUACAAGCACUUCAGGCCCGACGACCCCUCCAUCAAGACUAAGGCUAUGUUGCAAAUGAUCCAAACCCUGCAAACGGAUUUCGAGCGCACGAUCGAGGGCUCCGGCUCGGCUCAAAUCAACACGAACGAACUCUCCGGCGGCGCUAAGAUCAACCGACUGUUCCACGAACGAUUCCCAUUCGAGAUUGUGAAGAUGGAAUUCGACGAGAAAGAACUGCGCAGGGAGAUCGCAUUCGCCAUUAGAAAUAUUCACGGUAUUAGGGUGGGGCUUUUCACGCCCGACAUGGCGUUCGAGGCAAUAGUGAAGAAACAAAUAGCUCGGCUCAAGGAGCCCUGCCUCAAGUGUGUUGACUUAGUCGUGCAGGAGUUGUCUAAUGUGGUCCGCAUCUGCACGGAAAGGAUGUCGCGCUACCCGCGCCUGCGCGAGGAGACGGAGCGCAUCAUCAUGUCGCACGUGCGCUCGCGCGAGCAGCAGUGCAAGGACCAGCUCGUGCUGCUCAUCGACUGCGAGCUCGCCUACAUGAACACCAACCACGAGGACUUCAUCGGGUUUGCCAAUGCACAAAAUCAAUCGGAGAACGCUGCCAAGUCCGGCCAUCGCGCUCUCGGCAACCAAGUCAUUAGGAAAGGUUACAUGUGCAUACACAACUUGGGCAUCAUGAAAGGUGGUUCCCGUGACUACUGGUUCGUGUUGACGUCCGAGAGCAUCUCCUGGUACAAGGACGAGGAGGAGCGCGAGAAGAAAUACAUGCUCCCCCUCGACGGACUGAAGCUGCGCGAUCUGGAGCAGGGUUUCAUGUCGCGGCGACACAUGUUCGCGCUCUUCAACCCCGAGGGUAGGAAUGUAUACAAGGAUUACAAGCAGCUGGAGUUGUCCUGUGAGACGCAAGACGACGUGGACUCGUGGAAGGCGUCGUUCUUGCGCGCCGGCGUGUACCCGGAGAAGACGUCCGAGGCGGCCAACGGAGACGAGUUAUUUCUGCCUUCCCUGGGGUUGGGUGGAAAUAAAGGAAGAAAUUCCGACAGCAGCGGUACGAGCAGCAUGGACCCUCAGCUGGAGCGACAAGUGGAGACCAUUCGCAACCUCGUCGACUCGUACAUGCGCAUAGUCACAAAGACAACGCGAGAUCUCGUUCCCAAGACUAUCAUGAUGAUGAUCAUCAAUAACGCCAAAGACUUUAUUAACGGAGAGCUCCUCGCACAUUUAUAUGCUUCCGGCGAUCAGUCUCAAAUGAUGGAAGAGUCACCCGAGGAGGCCCUGAAGCGCGAGGAGAUGUUGCGUAUGUACCACGCGUGCAAGGAGGCGCUGCGCAUCAUCGGCGACGUGUCGAUGGCCACCGUCAGCACGCCCGUGCCGCCGCCCGUCAAGAACGACUGGCUCGAGAGUCGUCUCGACUCCAACCCGCGCCUCUCCCCGCCCUCGCCCGGCGGUCCACGCCGCGCCGCGCCUGCGCAGCAGGGUUCCCUGGGCCAACGCGGCGCGCCCCCGCCGCCGGGCGGCGCGGGUCGUCCGGCGCCGCCGCUGCCGUCGCGGCCGGGCGGCGCCGCGCCCCCGCCCCCCGCGGGCCGCCCCGCGCCCGGACAGGGCCUGCCCGCACCGCUCAUCCCCACGCGGCGCUAAGCGUGCGACCCCGACACGUGCCCAUUAACUAACUAAUAUAAUUUACGUACGAACAAUAAGCCGACCGGUGCCCAAUAUGCCGCCGAAGCUGCCCGAGCGACCGCAGAACGGUCGGCCAUUUUGAACGCGCCCACUCUUCGCCAUCGUCUAUAAUAAGCUUUACUGUAAAUAUGUUUCUAUUAUGUAUAUUGCCUUAUAUUUAAUGCUUAGAUUUACGCAAAGUAUUUAAUUAGUUAAAGAAGAACACAAUGAACUGUGAUUACUUCAAAGAACGAUGUCGAAUUUCUGUGUCUAAUUGCGAGUAAGGCUAGUUUUACUCACUUUAGACAAAUUAUUAUUUAAGAUAAUCGUCAAUGUUCAGACAUAAUCAAUGUAUGAAAUCGAUGUUAAUGAACAUUAAAUCUAUGCAAUAAUAUGUGUCGAUUAAAAUGGCGCUGAAGACCACUAAAAUUUAACUUUAUAUAAAUUAAACAAGCGUUUCUGUUGCCAAUGCACAACUAUUGCAUAGUUAUUGCUUCGACUUAUUAAAUUUGAUGUGUAUGACAACUCUUAUUAAAAAAAAUAUAAUGUUUGAUGUAUAAAAGAUUCUUCUACUUAUAUAGAAAUAUAAAGUCAGAGUGAAUUCCUUGAGGCGGCUUAAGGCCCGAGUCACACGCUACGUUAUAUACUUCUUUAAUAGAUGUUGAGAUACUUUAAAGCGUAUCGUUUGUAUGCUUAGUCCCCUUACAAACGGCUCACCGUUGUUUCUUAUAAGAAUUGUCGUGCCAUACGACUGACAGAAUGUUGGAUUGUUCUCCUUAGAAGAGGCUACUGUAAUGGAAGUGUUCGUUCUGCUUUGCGGAAAUACUUAAUCUUGGAAUUUAAUAUGUGUAACCGCAUUACUGUGGCAUUUAACAGAAGGCCUGGCACGUGACUAAGAGGUUUUAUAAAAACAUUUACGAAGUACGAGUACUGGAACUCCUGUACUAUAAAAGGGUCCCCGUAGACUACAGAUUUUUUUGUCGACUGACAGUUUAUUCAGGUUUAGGUUGUUGAACAGUUUGGUUGUUCAACAAGCAACAGUAGGUUGUUUGCUUUAAAAAAAUGCUUGUUGGUAAAUUUUACUUAAAGAGAACAAUCGCGAAAUGAAAGAAAGUCACUCACAGAAGGUAACCGAAAGUGCUGAGUAAUUUAGAUGUGAAAUUAUAUAUGAAUUAAUAUAACAAUAAAAAAAUAAUUACUAUAAAGAAUUAAAAUUCCACAAUAGAAAUAUGUAUUAAAUUGAAUAAGUCUAACCCGCUUCAACGAACUUGAUAAACAAAGCAUUGUAUUCGCAUCAGAAUAUUAGAUAAUUACUAUUUUAAGAUAGUUUGCGGGGUAUUUAACGGUGCAUCACAAUUUAAUAUCACAAGUCGCUGCUAAGGGUAUAUCUAGUUUCCCGCACGCGCCUUGAACGAGCCCUAAACGAGUGCUUUAUGUAGGUUCUUUACAGAGUUAACAAUCAUUUUGGCUGGCUGGAAGGUUUCCUGGUAGCUUUGCAGCUAUUAUUAUUUCUUUGCGAUUAAAGGGUGGGUAUAGGGCUGUAAGGAACGAGUUUCAAACCAGCUCAAAAUAUGAUGACACUGUUUGUGUAUCGUACUAGACAAGGAAUGUAUGCAGUAACUUACAGUUACAUAUCUUACAAUAUAUUUUUGUACCGCGCGAUUAAGGCGUGUACGCCAAUCUGGAUAUAACUCUUAGAACAUAGAGAUUAACUGCAAAUAAUGCUUAGUUUUAAGUAGACACUAAUUUAUUACUACUUUUGUAUCGAUAAAAUUUGUUGAAGGAGAAAUUAAACAGGAACUGGAGAGAUAUAAUUAAGAAUCGUUAAUUUGCCUAAAAGUUAAAAUGAUAGCUCAAAUCGCUGACUUAUACUACUUAAUUGUUAUUGUUGUGUGUAAAAUAUAUUUUGUCAUAAUUAUGGAUAAUUUUUAAAUUAUUUAUUUGACUAUAUUACCUCUUCUUUACAUCAAGUCUCUCCGGUUUCCACUGGGAAUACACAAAGGAUAUUUUUGUAAAUUCAUACUAUUUUUACUUCCGAUGUUUGGAUAUAGUAUAGAUGUCAAAUAGUUUUUAGUUAAAACUCAAUGGUCGAUGUUCUGUAAUUAUUGUUUUGUAUAUUUUAGGGGUUAUUUAUCAUACAUUCCCAUUGCGUCAUACCUGAUAUAUUCGCGUGCCAGGUUGUAACGUGUAUAUAAAUGUAAAGUAAUAUUGUAGACUUGUUUAUACUUGUAUACUGUUGUAUGCAAUUGUAAUAAAUGUGUAUAUAAAAUA